rnacentral:rRNA from 1 species
AGUCGAGCGAGGGCUCAUUUCCCGCAAGGGAGAUGGGUUCCUAGCGGCGAACGGGUGAGUAACACGUGGGCAACCUUUCCUAUCGCGGGGGAUAACAGCGGGAAACCGCUGCUAAUACCGCAUGUANUCACCGGUCGCAUGGCCGGUGAAAAAAGCAGCAAUGCACGAUGGGGUGGGCCCGCGGCCUAUCAGCUAGUCGGUGGGGUCACGGCCUACCGAGGCGAUGACGGGUAGCUGGUCUGAGAGGACGACCAGCCACACGGGGACUGAGACACGGCCCCGACUCCUACGGGAGGCAGCAGUGAGGAAUCUUCCGCAAUGGGCGAAAGCCUGACGGAGCGACACCGCGUGUGGGAUGAAGUCCUUCGGGAUGUAAACCACUGUUGGAGGGGAAGACAACUGACGGUACCCUCCGAGAAAGCCCCGGCUAACUACGUGCCAGCAGCCGCGGUAAUACGUAGGGGGCUACCGUUAUCCAGAAUUACUGGGCGUAAAGCGCGUGUACGCGGCUGGUUAAGUGUGAUGUGAAAUCUUCGGGCUCA